rnacentral:rRNA from 1 species
CCCUUAGAUGUUCUGGGCCGCACGCGCGCUACACUGACGAUGGCAACGAGUUUUUCCUUCGCCGAAAGGUGUGGGUAAUCUUUUGAAACAUCGUCGUGCUGGGGAUAGAUCAUUGCAAUUUUUGAUCUUGAACGAGGAAUUCCUAGUAAGCGCGAGUCAUCAGCCCGCGUUGAUUACGUCCCUGCCCUUUGUACACACCGCCCGUCGCUACUACCGAUUGAAUGGUUUAGUGAGGACUCCUGAUUGGCGCCGCCGCCCCGGCAACGGAGCAGCGGACUGCCGAAAAGUUGUUCAAACUUGAUCAUUUAGAGGAAGUAAAAGUCGUAACA